AGUGAACGCUGGCGGUAGGCCUAACACAUGCAAGUCGAACGGCAGCACAGUAAGAGCUUGCUCUUACGGGUGGUGAGUGGCGGACGGGUGAGGAAUACAUCGGAAUCUACUUUUUCGUGGGGGAUAACGUAGGGAAACUUACGCUAAUACCGCAUACGACCUACGGGUGAAAGCAGGGGAUCUUCGGACCUUGCGCGAUUGAAUGAGCCGAUGUCGGAUUAGCUAGUUGGCGGGGUAAAGGCCCACCAAGGCGACGAUCCGUAGCUGGUCUGAGAGGAUGAAUAGCCCCCACUGAACCUAGGAACCGUCCCAGCUCCCUCCGGGGGGCAGCGGUGGGAAUUUUUGACAAUGGGCGCAAGCCUGAUCCAGCCAUACCGCGUGGGUGAAGAAGGCCUUCGGGUUGUAAAGCCCUUUUGUUGGGAAAGAAAAGCAGCAGGUUAAUACCCCGCUGUUCUGACGGUACCCAAAGAAUAAGCACCGGCUAACUUCGUG
rnacentral:rRNA from 1 species